UUUCCGUAGGUGAACCUGCGGAAGGAUCAUUAUUGUAUAACCGAGGUGCGAGGGCUGUCGCUGACCCGAAAGGUCGUGCACGCCCGAGUGCCCUCACACACAUCCAUCUCACCCCUAUGUGCACCACCGCGUGGGUCCCCCUUUGGCUUGUUCGGAGGGGGGCUUACGUUUUCACACAAACUCUGUAUGCAGUGUAGAAUGUAUUUUUUGUUUUUGCGAUCACGCAAUCAAUACAACUUUCAACAACGGAUCUCUUGGCUCUCGCAUCGAUGGAGAACGCAGC
rnacentral:misc_RNA from 1 species